rnacentral:rRNA from 1 species
UGAGGAAUCUUGGACAAUGGGCGAAAGCCUGAUCCAGCCAUGCCGCGUGAAUGAUGAAGGCCUUAGGGUUGUAAAAUUCUUUCAGCAGGGAAGAUAAUGACGGUACCUGCAGAAGAAGCCCCGGCUAACUCCGUGCCAGCAGCCGCGGUAAUACGGAGGGGGCUAGCGUUGUUCGGAAUUACUGGGCGUAAAGCGCUCGUAGGCGGAUUGGUCAGUCAGGGGUGAAAGCCCGGAGCUCAACUCCGGAACUGCCUUUGAUACUGCCAGUCUUGAGUUCGGGAGAGGUGAGCGGAAUACCGAGUGUAGAGGUGAAAUUCGUAGAUAUUCGGUGGAACACCAGAGGCGAAGGCGGCUCACUGGACCGAUACUGACGCUGAGGAGCGAAAGCGUGGGGAGCAAACAGG